AGUAAGAUGUCGCUAACAUCGCAUUGUUUUGUAGUCCUGUAGAAAGUUCUGGAUGCUUUCUUCGUAGUUUUCCUUAUGUUUUUGGAAUAAAUUCAACACCAUAUCAAAUAUUGAGUACUACCUGACAGGCUAACAACGUCUGGUUUUCGUCACCUGACUCAAACUGUUUCCUAUCUGUCUGAUCCUUCCUGCUAUGGAAUUACUAAUCAGAUAUUAGAAGGAGGACUCAUAUUACGCACCUGCUUCAGCGAAGUGCUGUCACACUGUGUUGUUUUUCCUGAUUACUUGAAAGCAACAUUGCAUUCAAAGAGUAUUUCAGAAAUAUGCUGAAUUGCUUCACCCAAAACUCACUCUUCCAUAUUUAUCAGCAGCUUAAUGGGAGCAGGAGCCCCUCUUGAAUAACAUCUCCCAGAAUAAAUCACCCCUCACCUUACCAGCCUGUUAAGGACUGACGUCGAUUGUUACCACCAAUUUUGAAGUUUGGGGCUUUAGCUGUUUGUGGUGUAUUGGUUGCUUUUCGGUGAGGACGGGAUGAUCAUGACUUGGAUUUGGAAUCCUGGAUGUGUUCCUCACUAUAAUCUCCGGUCAACAUUUGGUCUUGCGGAUGCAUGUGUGCCAUUUUUUCCCGCCAGAAGCCGUUCUUGUGGAGUGGACAGCCGGAAGUGGUUGAUUUCCUGCAAAAUCUUUAACAUUAUUUUUUACGUCCCUCGGAUCUCGAGUCGGCCGCCGAUUUCAAUCUACAACGCAGUUUCUUUGAUGGAAUUGUGUGGUCCCUGCACGGGGACAGAAAAGUCAUGGACGUUUUGCAUCAUCGAUAUCUUCGUGACGCACGCUCAUCUAGCUUCACUGCUUCUCAUGCUGCUACUCAACUCGUCUUAGCACUGACGAGUUAGACCACUCCUGUGAUCGCUUCCGUCCGCUGUUACACACCUGCAGUCACUCACCACGGGAUUACCAACACCACGAGGUAAUGCAGAGAUGUUGCCUAGAUGAACAUUGAACACCAAAAGAUUGACGGCAGCCCUAAAAUGUCAGCGUGGAUCAUCGUAUUGUUGGUAUUGUUGGUAUUGUUGCGUUUGUUU
rnacentral:lncRNA from 1 species